rnacentral:rRNA from 1 species
CGCCUAACACAUGCAAGUCGAACGCAGUAGCAAUACUGAGUGGCAAACGGGUGAGUAUAAUGUGGGAAUCUGCCUUUUGGUUUGGAAUAACACGGGGAAACUUGUGCUAAUACCGAAUAAGCCCUUACGGGGAAAGUUUUAACGCCGAAAGAUGAGCCCGCACUUGAUUAGCUAGUUGGUAAGGUAAAAGCUUACCAAGGCAACGAUCAAUAGCUGUUCUUAGAGGAAGACCAGCCACAUUGGGACUGAGACACGGCCCAGACUCCUACGGGAGGCAGCAGUGGGGAAUCUUGCACAAUGGGGGAAACCCUGAUGCAGCGAUGCCGCGUGAGUGAAGAAGGCCCUUGGGUUGUAAAACUCUUUCGUCGGGGAAGAAAAUGACUGUACCCGAAUAAGAAGGUCCGGCUAACUUCGUGCCAGCAGCCGCGGUAAUACGAAGGGACCUAGCGUAGUUCGGAAUUACUGGGCUUAAAGAGCUCGUAGGUGGUUAAAAAAGUUGAUGGUGAAAUCCCAAGGCUCAACCUUGGAACUGCCAUCAAAACUUUUUAGCUAGAGUGUGAUAGAGGUAAGUGGAAUUUCUAGUGUAGAGGUGAAAUUCGUAGAUAUUAGAAAGAACACCAAAUGCGAAGGCAACUUACUGGGUCACUACUGACACUGAGGAGCGAAAGCAUGGGUAGCGAAGAGGAUUAGAUACCCUCGUAGUCCAUGCCGUAAACGAUGUGUGCUAGACGUUGGAAAUAUAUUUUUCAGUGUCGCAGCGAAAGCAUUAAGCACACCGCCUGGGGAGUACGACC